rnacentral:rRNA from 1 species
UACGGGGGGAGCAAGCGUUGUUCGGAUUUACUGGGCGUAAAGGGCUUGUAGGUGGCCAACUAAGUCAGACGUGAAAUCCCUCGGCUUAACCGGGGAACUGCGUCUGAUACUGGAUGGCUGGAGUUUGGGAGAGGGAUGCGGAAUUCCAGGUGUAGCGGUGAAAUGCGUAGAUAUCUGGAGGAACACCGGUGGCGAAGGCGGCAUCCUGGACCAACACUGACGCUGAGGAGCGAAAGCCAGGGGAGCAAACGGG